CGCCUAAACUCUAAAUAUUUUAGAGCAUGGCGGAAAAGAAUCCAGUACAGGAAACGAGAGCUCCUCGUUCAGCUCACCUGUACUGGUCAUAACUCGAAAGGGUUAUGGGAGUCCGAAAGGAUUCC
rnacentral:sRNA from 24 species